GUACACAUGCAGUCGAGCGGAAACGAUGAUAGCUUGCUAUCAGGCGUCGAGCGGCGGACGGGUGAGUAAUACUUAGGAAUCUGCCUAGUAGUGGGGGAUAGCACGGGGAAACUCGUAUUAAUACCGCAUACGACCUACGGGAGAAAGGGGGCAACUUGUUGCUCUCGCUAUUAGAUGAGCCUAAGUCGGAUUAGCUAGAUGGUGGGGUAAAGGCCUACCAUGGCGACGAUCUGUAGCUGGUCUGAGAGGAUGAUCAGCCACACCGGAACUGAGACACGGUCCGGACUCCUACGGGAGGCAGCNGUGGGGAAUAUUGNACAAUGGGGGCNACCCUGAUCCAGCCAUGCCGCGUGUGUGAAGAAGGCCUUUUGGUUGUA
rnacentral:rRNA from 1 species